rnacentral:lncRNA from 1 species
CCACACGGGCGUGUGUUUUGGACACACGACUGUUUCUGGUGGGCAUAUGGGUGUGUGAGACCCUCACACGGCCAUGUCUGCCCUGUACCCCAUUUUAGCACAAACGGACAGAGAGUUACACGGUGAGAUCACACAACCAUGUCCUUAGGUCACACGGAUGUGUGCCUCCUUCCAUACGAGCAUGUGCCCCUCCACAUGGGUGUGUU